AUGGAGAGGAGACGAGGCUCUGAGUUCCCUGUGCCAGCCUCACAACCGUGGAAAUUGGGUCAGGACAGCACUCAGAAGAGCACUCUGAGACAGGACCUGCUAUUCUUGAAACUGUGUCUCUCAUGCAUAUUGCAGCUGGUGUCCAUGCUGUCUUCUGAAGAGGCCAACCCAAGACUUCUCCUUGGAUAUAUGGGUUAUGGAGAACAAUUGGGAAUUGUGUUGAACUUGAUCUUCAAUGAAUUUGUCAAGGAUAUGUCAAUAUGCCAAUAUAUGCUUCUAAGACUCUACCUUUGUAAAAUAAACACAAAGUGCAACACAGAUUAGGCUUGAGUUUUGCACAUCUUGUUGGCAGAGACCAUUAACACAUCUGUUCACAUCUUUUGGUUACUUGCUUAAUAUGAGUGCAUUUGGGCUGAACUGGGAAGGUAAGAGUCUAAACAAGAAUGUGGUAGCAUGGUUGUAUUGGGAAAAAGGUAUAACUCAGUUAUCUGAACAGCAAAAGACAUCCUUAAAAAAAUUAAGAGAAUAUGAAUACACUUUAUAUCCAUUAAAAAUUCUAAAAAAAAAAAAAAAAAAAGAAAAAAGGAAAUAUGCAUAUAUAAACUGAAAAAAAAAUGUUUAUUCAGCUCCACUAUGAUUUCUGUAUCUAUUUCCACUUCACAGUCUAACCUAAAGAAAGAAGGAUAAAAUAGGAGCAAUCUGAACAGCAAUGCUUCAUUCAGUGAUAGUUUUGUCCUUCCUUCUUAUGCCCUUUACCUGGCAUAAAGUGCUAAAGCAUAGAUUCUGCACCACCUGUACUAAUUCAAUUUUCAGGCCAUAAAAGAGGAGAAAGAUUUGUUUUUCUACAAUAUAUAUUUGUAUACAUAUAUAUUAAUUGCUGAAAACUCAAGGUGAAAAUGUCCUCUCUUGAAUUAGAGGGCCAAACACUGAAACAUUAUUGGCUUUGUACUAUUCUAUAGCAGUGACUUUUCCUAAUGUCAAUCGCCAGUAGAGGGAGGACACAAAC
rnacentral:lncRNA from 1 species